GGAAGAUAAGUGUAUCGAGAGUGCGUUAACAGUUCGACCGCGACAAUUAGGAAUUUCUUGUGACUCAUGAGACAUAUGGCAACACCGAGCAUGCAAUUCAGGUGUGUCCCUUGGCUAUUACAAACGAGCAUGCAAGGGAGAGCCUUUGCAAUUUAUAUGCCGAGACUGUGUUACUCUGUACACCAGUCGACAGCAUAAGACGAGCGCAACAGCUCAAUCGGCAUCUUGCAGGCUACCUUCAACACUUGAAGCACCCGAUCGUCACGGAUACACAUACAGGAGUCAAAUGAUCACAUGUACAAUUUUACAUCAAAAUAUUUACUCAUAACUGAGAUAUUAAAGUUUGAAAAAUGCUG